CACGGGGGGAGCAAGCGUUGUUCGGAAUCAUUGGGCGUAAAGCGCGCGUAGGCGGCUCGGAAAGUCGGGCGUGAAAUGCCGGGGCUCAACCCCGGGACUGCGUCCGAUACUUCCGAGCUGGAGGUAGGUAGGGGAGAUCGGAAUUCCUGGUGUAGCGGUGAAAUGCGUAGAGAUUGGGAAGAACACCGGUGGCGAAAGCGCUCUGCUGGGCCGCAACUGACACUAAUGGACGAAAGCUAGGGGAGCGAAUGGG
rnacentral:rRNA from 1 species